ensembl:rRNA 5S_rRNA 5S ribosomal RNA
UCCAGCAGCCAUAUCGCCCUGCAACUCACAACUGGCAACCCACUGAAGCUAAGCAGGUGUGAGCCUGGUCAGUACCUGGAUGGGAGACCUCCUGGGAAAAACUAAGGUUGCUGCUGGAC